rnacentral:rRNA from 1 species
AACGGCCGUACCAUGCUGAAUAUACCGGUUCUCGUUAGAUCACCGAAGUUAAGCAUCAUUGGGCGCGGUCAGUACUUGGGUGGGUGACCACCUGGGAAAACUUGCGUGCCG